rnacentral:rRNA from 1 species
GACGAGCGCUGGCGGCGUGCUUAACACAUGCAAGUCGAGCGGAAAGGCCCUUUCGGGGGUACUCGAGCGGCGAACGGGUGAGUAACACGUGAGUAAUCUGCCCUUGGCUUUGGGAUAACCACCGGAAACGGUGGCUAAUACCGGAUAUGACGGGCUCCGGCAUCGGGGUUCGUGGAAAGUUUUUCGGCCAGGGAUGUGCUCGCGGCCUAUCAGCUUGUUGGUGGGGUAAUGGCCUACCCAAAGGCUUCGACGGGUAGCCGGCCUGAGAGGAUGAUCAGUCACACUGGAACUGAGACACGGUCCAGACUCCUACGGGAGGCAGCAGUGAGGAAUAUUGGGCAAUGCACGAAAGUGUGACCCACGCAACGACCGCCGUGGAGGAUGAAGGUA